UACGUAGGGUGCAAGCGUUGUCCGGAAUUAUUGGGCGUAAAGAGCUCGUAGGCGGUUUGUCGCGCCUGCUGUGAAAACUCGGGGCUUAACUCCGGGCCUGCAGUGGGUACGGGCAGACUAGAGUGCGGUAGGGGAGACUGGAAUUCCUGGUGUAGCGGUGAAAUGCGCAGAUAUCAGGAGGAACACCGGUGGCGAAGGCGGGUCUCUGGGCCGUAACUGACGCUGAGGAGCGAAAGCUAGGGGAGCAAACGGG
rnacentral:rRNA from 1 species